GCUGACCACCAGAGGGGAAGGAGGCAUGCUAUCAGCUCCUGAGGAGGGACAGGCUGUGCUCCAGGAUCUGGAGGCCAGCCAAGCCUGGAUGUGCUCUGAUGCUCAGAUGGGAUAAAUCACAGAAGGGGAACAGACCAGAGGAUCUGGAGGUUAUGGUAGGAAGCAACCCAGGGGAACUUUAAAGGAAAAUGGUGUUAAAGCUGCACAGAGGCUUGCUGUGUUUCAGGCAGAUCCCUGCUGAGCUGGUGGCAAGGGGAACUUGCUACUACCAGGACCCUGGGUUGGGACCUGGUGAAGAAGGCGGGCCUGGGUCCCUCUACCCCAGGCAUGGAAAUCAUAUGGACCCUGGACAUUUGGGAUUAAAUACAGCCCAGACAGUGCAGCUUCUCCCAUGCUGCACCCACUGAUGCUGACCUAGAGGGGCUACCAUCAAGGGGAUGAACACAUUAAUCUCUCCUUGGCAUUUGCCACCUUGCCGGAGGCAUUCAUCACUUUGAAGGAUAAGGCAUAUUGGCCCUGGUUCUCAUUGACACGAAGGCCCCUUAUCUCAUUUACACUCUCUUUAAGGCACUGCCAUUACGGUGUCAGAGGACUUUGUGUCAACCAGAAUUCAGGACUUUGAACACUGACCACACACAGAGUUUUUCCCUUGCAAUGCCAGUUUUACCCCCAUGGAAACAGAGGGGUUUGGGCUGCUGGAAUGUUGCUAAAACAUGGCAACUCAAACCCAAUAGUUUAUUUCCAUAUUUGCGGUGCCAAGCUAACGUAUCUCUGUGUCAUUCACGACAGUACACUCCCCUUUUACAGCCAUUUCAAGAAAGUAGACUUCAAAGCGAAGACUUGCUGCAACCUUUUCCACAAGUGAGUGGGAACAAGCUGGGGAUAAACUGUGCCGGUGCUACGAACGUCGGCCUUGGCCCUUGUGUACUCAGUUGCACAGUACCAUGCACCAGUGAGGACAAGAAGCUGCCAUACCCAACUUGUGGAUAUGUAGCUCAAUCAGACCAUGCAAAUCAGCCUGGGAACUCUAAAAAUCGCUGCCCAGCUUUCUGUAUUAGGUAUCGGUUAAGGCAUUGCACUCUCUAAGUUUGUGGUGGGUCUUCAGUUAGUCCUCCUGUCAAGUCCCACUCAGUGUGUUUGUGAGAUAAAAAUCAACCCCCUUCUGGGAUAUAAGCCCAACAGGGGGCCUAUCUCAGCACCCUCUGUAAGGUCCCUUUAUCUGCAGCCCUAUCCCCGGGCUCACUCCUCAAUGAGUCCAGCAGGGCCUAUCACAGUACCCUGGUUCGAACUGUCUCAGCCCCUUCUGGGCUCCCUUGAAUUAUCCCUGCUCUUCAAGCAGUCCUGGCUCUGGUGACUGGAGACUCUCUGGGUCUUUCUGGCCCCAAAUCUUCAGCAGGGCCACUAAGUGUUCAGUUCCCCCUCUGGGGUAUAUGAAAGGCCAAGACACUUUCCCCAUGGCUGGUGGGGGGGACCCAGGCCCGCCCUUUACUCCAGGUCUCAGCCCAGGGACCCUAAAAAUAGCAGCUGUCCUCCCGGUCCCUGUAAGCUGCGUUGCUGCUACAAUUCCCUGGGCUACUUCCCUGCAGGCCCAGCUCAUUCUUUGCCCUUCCCUCAGUGCCUUGUCUUGGUUGAGUCCCAACAGCCAUCCCGGAGCUCCUUUGUGUUCCCCUCAGGAUCUGCCAGCACUGCUCUGUCUGAGAUCCUGUAGGUCCCUCAGCCAGCCAGGCACACCACCCACACUCCUCCAGCUCCAGCAAAGAACAUAUCUCGCCCCAUCACACCACAGCACAAGAACUUAAACAUGCUGAAGACUACCCGGAACAUCCCACCUGGCAGGUUACGGACAA